ACGAAAGUUAGGGGAUCGAAGACGAUCAGACACCGUGUAGUCUUAACCAUAAACUACGCCGACUCAGGAUCAGUGGAAGUUCGAUUUCGACUCCAUCGGCACUGUGUGAGAAAUCAAAGUUUUUGGGUUCCGGGGGGAGUAUGGUCGCAAGGCUGAAACUUAAAGGAAUUGACGGAAGGGCACACCAGAAGUGGAGCCUGCGGCUUAAUUUGACUCAACACGGGGAAACUUACCAGGUCCAGACACAGUAAGGAUUGACAGAUUGAGAGCUCUUUCUUGAUUCUGUGGGUGGUGGUGCAUGGCCGUUCUUAGUUGGUGGAGUGAUUUGUCUGGUUAAUUCCGAUAACGAACGAGACCUCAGCCUGCUAACUAGGUGCGCGAUCCACGCGAUCGUAGUACCUUCUUAGAGGGACUAUUCGUGUUUAACGAAGGGAAGUUUGAGGCAAUAACAGGUCUGUGAUGCCCUUAGAUGUCCUGGGCCGCACGCGCGCUACACUGAUUCAAGCAACAAGUUACAACCUUGACCGAAAGGCCCGGGUAAACUUCAAAAUUGAAUCGUGCUGGGGAUAGACUAUUGCAAUUAUUAGUCUUCAACGAGGAAUUUCUAGUAAGCGCGAGUCAUCAGCUCGCGUUGAUUACGUCCCUGCCCUUUGUACACUCCGCCCGUCGCUCAGUCC
rnacentral:rRNA from 1 species